rnacentral:rRNA from 1 species
GACGAACGCUGGCGGCGUGCUUAACACAUGCAAGUCGAACGGAAAGGCCCUGCUUUUGUGGGGUGCUCGAGUGGCGAACGGGUGAGUAACACGUGAGUAACCUGCCCUUGACUUUGGGAUAACUUCAGGAAACUGGGGCUAAUACCGGAUAGGAGCUCCUGCUGCAUGGUGGGGGUUGGAAAGUUUCGGCGGUUGGGGAUGGACUCGCGGCUUAUCAGCUUGUUGGUGGGGUAGUGGCUUACCAAGGCUUUGACGGGUAGCCGGCCUGAGAGGGUGACCGGCCACAUUGGGACUGAGAUACGGCCCAGACUCCUACGGGAGGCAGCAGUGGGGAAUAUUGCACAAUGGGCGGAAGCCUGAUGCAGCAACGCCGCGUGCGGGAUGACGGCCUUCGGGUUGUAAACCGCUUUCGCCUGUGACGAAGCGUGAGUUACGGUAAUGGGUAAAGAAGCACCGGCUAACUACGUGCCAGCAGCCGCGGUGAUACGUAGGGUGCGAGCGUUGUCCGGAUUUAUUGGGCGUAAAGGGCUCGUAGGUGGUUGAUCGCGUCGGAAGUGUAAUCUUGGGGCUUAACCCUGAGCGUGCUUUCGAUACGGGUUGACUUGAGGAAGGUAGGGGAGAAUGGAAUUCCUGGUGGAGCGGUGGAAUGCGCAGAUAUCAGGAGGAACACCAGUGGCGAAGGCGGUUCCCUGGGCCUUUCCUGACGCUGAGGAGCGAAAGCGUGGGGAGCGAACAGGCUUAGAUACCCUGGUAGUCCACGCUGUAAACGGUGGGUACUAGGUGUGGGGUCCAUUCCACGGGUUCCGUGCCGUAGCUAACGCUUUAAGUACCCCGCCUGGGGAGUACGGCCGCAAGGCUAAAACUCAAAGGAAUUGACGGGGCCCCGCACAAGCGGCGGAGCAUGCGGAUUAAUUCGAUGCAACGCGUAGAACCUUACCUGGGUUUGACAUGGAUCGGGAGUGCUCAGAGAUGGGUGUGCCUCUUUUGGGGUCGGUUCACAGGUGGUGCAUGGCUGUCGUCAGCUCGUGUCGUGAGAUGUUGGGUUAAGUCCCGCAACGAGCGCAACCCUUGUUCACUGUUGCCAGCACGUUAUGGUGGGGACUCAGUGGAGACCGCCGGGGUCAACUCGGAGGAAGGUGGGGAUGACGUCAAGUCAUCAUGCCCCUUAUGUCCAGGGCUUCACGCAUGCUACAAUGGCUGGUACAGAGAGUGGCGAGCCUGUGAGGGUGAGCGAAUCUCGGAAAGCCGGUCUCAGUUCGGAUUGGGGUCUGCAACUCGACCUCAUGAAGUCGGAGUCGCUAGUAAUCGCAGAUCAGCAACGCUGCGGUGAAUACGUUCCCGGGGCUU